ACAACGUUUGGUCCGUGCUUCAGUUGAACUUGGCUAUUGUUGACAUAUUGUGCAAGUUUAAUGUGAAUUGCAUCAGCAUUGAAAAUACAAACCUGACAUACAGACCAGCGAACUGAAGUCCGGUUAAUAACACUGUUCUGUGGAUAUUUGUCUCAGUUUACCUACUACAUAAGGACAAAAGCAGAGGACAAGAGAGGAUCUUUAGGAGCACUUACCACAGCCUGAGACAUUUCGGGACAAGGCCUGGGAGAGACAAGAACCACAAGCUGUCAGAGAACAGACCCUGGCAUCCCACAACAUCCCAUAUUCCCGUCAACGCCACGUCUCCCACUAAAUGGCAUGAUGGUACAAAAGCAAGUCGGAGAGGAGAAUACUGAAGCGAAGAAGGCAUAGCUCUUUGGUUCACUGCUAAGGAUUCCCACUUACAUAUUAAGAUACUUUUCUUCUCUGGUUUUUAGAGAGAAGAAAAAAAAGUCUGUCAGCAUUUGCGAGGUUGAGACUCAACAGAACAGAGAGUCUCAGAGAGGCUAAAAAGCUAAAUGAGUUACAUAUCGCUAUUUAGAAGAUUAUGAUUUUCUGUCUUGGAAUCUCUCAGGAGUUUUUUGGUGUUUGUGUUGCCCACAACUGCUGAAAGAAGAUGAAUUGAUGAACGUUUUGUUAGAAUGAGGGCAAUUUGAGUUCUGACGGUUAUGAAAUAAAUCAGAUGUAUAUUAACAGACAUAAAGGGAUGAUGUAAUACAUCUGAAUACUACAAAAGAAAGAGGGCUGAUUGUUUUGUUUUAGCACUGCCAACAUUUCUUUACUAUUUUAUUUGAAUUGUAUUUAACCUUUAUUUAACUAGGCAAGUCAUAUAUAUUUCUUGACUAGACCAAUUCAUAUUAGCCAUUUUCUAAAUAUCCAUUCAGGCAAAAUAUAUUUCAUAUCAAGUUAAUGAAAAGGCAGACAAGUAAACUGCAGUUAGCCCAGAACAGAGCAGCACGGCUGGCCCUUAAAUGUACACAGAGAGUUAACAUCAAUGACAUGCAUAUCAAUCUCUCCUGGCUCAAAGUAGAGGAGAGAUUGACUGCAUCACCUACUCGUCUUUGUGAGAUGUAUUGACAUGUUGAAGGUACCCAGCUGUCUGUUCAAACGACUAGCACAGAGCUCAGACACCCAUGCAUACCCCACGAGACAUUCCACCAGUGGUCUCUUCACAGAUUAAAAAAACAGAUAAAACUACUAUGGAACAAUGCGGACUGUGAAGAGACACAGACACACACACACGCAUACUCACACAUGCUAGCACAUGCAAUCUAUAAACGCAUCCAUUUUAAAUAUUGUUGAAUGGUGUAAUUAUGCAUGUUGUGUUAUAGAUAUGUAGUGGAUAAAUGAUGUUAUAUGAUGUACUGUUUUAUUUUUAUUUUGUUUAUUUUGUGAUGUGCCUUAAUGCGCCUGGACACCAGGAAGAGUAUGCAAUGGAGAUCCAUAAUAAAUACAAAUACAAAUAUAA